rnacentral:rRNA from 1 species
UACAGAGGGGGGCAAGCGUUGUUCGGAAUUACUGGGCGUAAAGGGCGCGUAGGCGGCCCGCUAAGUCGGACGUGAAAUCCCCAGGCUCAACCUGGGAACUGCGUCUGAUACUGGAUGGCUUGAAUCCGGGAGAGGGAUGCAGAAUUCCAGGUGUAGCGGUGAAAUGCGUAGAUAUCUGGAGGAAUACCGGUGGCGAAGGCGGCAUCCUGGACCGGCAUUGACGCUGAGGAGCGAAAGCCAGGGAGCAAAGCGGG